UACAGAGGGUGCAAGCGUUGUUCGGAAUUACUGGGCGUAAAGCGCGUGUAGGCGGCGUCGUUAGUCGGAUGUGAAAGCCCUCGGCUCAACCGAGGAAGUGCAUCCGAUACUGCGAUGCUUGAGUGUUGGAGGGGGGUGGCGGAAUUCCCCGGGUGUAGAGGUGAAAUUCGUAGAUAUCGGGAGGAACACCUGUGGCGAGGCGGCCACCUGGACAACAACUGACGCUGAGACGCGAAAAGCGUGGGUAGCAAAACAGG
rnacentral:rRNA from 1 species